CCUGUAGAGGAAUUGCAGGAUCAAUGCCUAAAGAUUGUCUCUUUCUCAGAAAGAUCUAAGUAAUUUUAAGGGUGCUCAAGGUACAUACAGGAGUCUGCAAAAACAGGUACAAAAAAAAAUAGUCUGUGAGGUUUUAGCCUCCAAAUGCUGAUGUCACUGUAACUCGGCAGAAGGUGCUCUAUGACCAUUUGUCAGCAUCACUGCAACUGCAGCAAUUUGCAGAGGCAAGAAGAACUGACAGGCACACAAAGCACUGUGAGAAUGAGUUAUAAUGGGAGAUGCCAGGCAUAAAAUCAUGAUCCUACCCAGAAAGGGGGCACAAAAGGGAAGCAACAGGUUUGCAGAUGAGCAUCACCAAACCAACAAAAAGAAGGCUGGAUUUCAAAGAAUGGCUCAGUUACAUAAAGGAAUGAAAAGCAGCACGGAACUGGAAAAAAAUGAAAAAUAAACCCAGAAACAUUGCAGAUGAUAGUCCAACACUCCCCA